GACGAACGCUGGCGGCGUGCUUAACACAUGCAAGUCGAACGGAAAGGCCCUGCUUUUGUGGGGUGCUCGAGUGGCGAACGGGUGAGUAACACGUGAGUAACCUGCCCUUGACUUUGGGAUAACUUCAGGAAACUGGGGCUAAUACCGGAUAGGAGCUCCUGCUGCAUGGUGGGGGUUGGAAAGUUUCGGCGGUUGGGGAUGGACUCGCGGCUUAUCAGCUUGUUGGUGGGGUAGUGGCUUACCAAGGCUUUGACGGGUAGCCGGCCUGAGAGGGGGACCGGCCACAUUGGGACUGAGAUACGGACCAGACUCCUACGGGAGGCAGCAGUGGGGAAUAUUGCCCAAUGGGCGGAAGCCUGAUGCAGCAACGCCGCGUGCGGGAUGACGGCCUUCGGGUUGUAAACCGCUUUCGCCUGUGACGAAGCGUGAGUGACGGUAAUGGGUAAAGAAGCACCGGCUAACUACGUG
rnacentral:rRNA from 1 species